CGUCCUAUGGGGGGCAGCAGUGAGGAAUAUUGGUCAAUGGGCGGGAGCCUGAACCAGCCAAGUCGCGUGAGGGAAGACGGUCCUAUGGAUUGUAAACCUCUUUUGUCGGGGAGCAAAGAGAUCACGUGUGGUCAAAAGCGAGAGUACCCGAAGAAAAAGCAUCGGCUAACUCCGUGCCAGCAGCCGCGGUAAUACGGAGGAUGCGAGCGUUAUCCGGAUUUAUUGGGUUUAAAGGGUGCGUAGGCGGGACGGUAAGUCAGCGGCAAAAAUGCGGAGCUCAACUACGUAGAGCCGUUGAAACAGCC
rnacentral:rRNA from 1 species